rnacentral:lncRNA from 1 species
CCUAUGAUACCUUCUUUUUCAUUGGAAACAUCAUUUAUGUUGGUAGGUAUGAUAGGGCACCACACAUUAUUUUUUGUUUAUGGAAUGAUUUGGUUUGCAGCCAUACAUGCAUUGGCCUUUCUGAAAUCCAAACAAAUCUAUCUAGACACUCAUUUAUGUGUUUAGUUGAUGCACUUACAAUUUGGGGGGUUUUCUGUGUACCAAGUAUAUAAUCUGCUUCUGAAUUUCUUAAUCCCGAUCUAUGAUAUGUAACUCUUUUUUAUCCUUUAGAAAGCAUUUUAAAAUCUGUUUAUCCUCUUAAUGACAAUAGACAAAGCUAUCCCUUUCUCAAAAAAAAUAAAAAUAAAAAAAAAUCAACCACCCGUUGUCUAUAUAGUGAACGAGCAAAUAAUUGACCGGAGCAUGGCAUGAAACCUAGAUCGAGUCUCACUAUAUGUAUCUAUUCAGUCAUUCAUCGCUGAUCAAUUAAUGGAAAAAAAAAUAGGUGAUUGAAUCGAACCCUCGAUUCUGAAGUUCUAAUAGGGGUUUUCCAAUUUUUUAUUUUCGAUACAUGAUUUCCCAAUUCAUUUAGUAGAGGAUCUUAUCUAGAAACCAGAAAGAUGAAUGAGUCCUACCAUACCACUUUUUUUAUUCUCCCUUGGUAAUCCCUUUGCAAGCCAGCCACUCAUUGAAUCUUAGAACCUAAGAUAAAACAUGGGUUUUGACCUAACAUCUAUAUCAUUACAACCAUUUUUAUAUUUAUAGCAUGUGAAACUCGGCUUCAUCCCAUUCCCUCCCUCCUUCUACUUCAGCCGAUUUAUACACGUUUUGCAUCCGAUGAACCACAGAACGAGUUAAAGUCAAAUAGAGUAUAAAGCACAAUAGAUUU